rnacentral:rRNA from 1 species
GAUGAACGCUGGCGGCGUGCCUAAUACAUGCAAGUCGAGCGAACAGACGAGGAGCUUGCUCCUCUGACGUUAGCGGCGGACGGGUGAGUAACACGUGGAUAACCUACCUAUAAGACUGGGAUAACUUCGGGAAACCGGAGCUAAUACCGGAUAAUAUAUUGAACCGCAUGGUUCAAUAGUGAAAGACGGUUUUGCUGUCACUUAUAGAUGGAUCCGCGCCGCAUUAGCUAGUUGGUAAGGUAACGGCUUACCAAGGCAACGAUGCGUAGCCGACCUGAGAGGGUGAUCGCCCACACUGGAGCUUGGACACGGUCCAGACGCCUACGGGAGGCAGCAGUAGGGAAUCUUCCGCAAUGGGCGAAAGCCUGACGGAGCAACGCCGCGUGAGUGAUGAAGGUCUUCGGAUCGUAAAACUCUGUUAUUAGGGAAGAACAAAUGUGUAAGUAACUAUGCACGUCUUGACGGUACCUAAUCAGAAAGCCACGGCUAACUACGUG